UACCAACUGGAUGAGCAGCGAACGGGUGGGUAACGCGUGGGGAAUCUGCCUUUGAGCGGGGGACAACAUUUGGAAACGAAUGCUAAUACCGCAUAACAAUGAGAAUCGCAUGAUUCUUAUUUGAAAGAAGCAAUUGCUUCACUACUUGAUGAUCCCGCGUUGUAUUAGCUAGUUGGUAGUGUAAAGGACUACCAAGGCGAUGAUACAUAGCCGACCUGAGAGGGUGAUCGGCCACACUGGGACUGAGACACGGCCCAGACUCC
rnacentral:rRNA from 1 species